rnacentral:tRNA from 1 species
GUUUUAAUAUUUUAAAAAAAAUAAUGACUUUGUAAGUCAAAAUUAAGAACUUUCUUUUAAAACA